UACAGAGGGUGCAAGCGUUAAUCGGAAUUACUGGGCGUAAAGCGUGCGUAGACGGUUAUGUAAGUCAGGUGUGAAAGCCCAGGGCUCAACCUUGGAAUUGCAUUUGAGACUGCAUAGCUAGGGUGCGGAAGAGGGAAGCGGAAUUUCCGGUGUAGCGGUGAAAUGCGUAGAUAUCGGAAGGAACACCAGUGGCGAAAGCGGCUUCCUGGUCCAGCACAGACGUUCAGGCACGAAAGCGUGGGGAGCAAACAGG
rnacentral:rRNA from 1 species